rnacentral:rRNA from 1 species
GACGAACGCUGGCGGCGUGCUUAACACAUGCAAGUCGAACGGAAAGGCCCUGCUUUUGUGGGGUGCUAGAGUGGCGAACGGGUGAGUAACACGUGAGUAACCUGCCCUUGACUUUGGGAUAACUUCAGGAAACUGGGGCUAAUACCGGAUAGGAGCUCCUGCUGCAUGGUGGGGGGUGGAAAGUUUCGGCGGUUGGGGAUGGACUCGCGGCUUAUCAGCUUGUUGGUGGGGUAGUGGCUUACCAAGGCUUUGACGGGUAGCCGGCCUGAGAGGGUGACCGGCCACAUUGGGACUGAGAUACGGCCCAGACUCCUACGGGAGGCAGCAGUGGGGAAUAUUGCACAAUGGGCGGAAGCAUGAUGCAGCAACGCCGCGUGCGGGAUGACGGCCUUCGGGUUGUAAACCGCUUUCGCCUGUGACGAAGCGUGAGUGACGGUAAUGGGUAAAGAAGCACCGGCUAACUACGUG